UACGGGGGGGGCAAGCGUUGUUCGGAAUUACUGGGCGUAAAGGGCUCGUAGGCGGCCAACUAAGUCAUACGUGAAAUCCCUCGGCUUAACCGGGGAACUGCGUCUGAUACUGGAUGGCUUGAGAUUGGGAGAGGGAUGCGGAAUUCCAAGGUGUAGCGGUGAAAUGACGUAGAUAUCUGGAGGAACACCGGUGGCGAAGGCGGCAUCCUGGACCAACACUGACGCUGAGGAGCGAAAGCCAGGGGAGCAAACGGG
rnacentral:rRNA from 1 species